rnacentral:rRNA from 1 species
UACGGGGGGAGCAAGCGUUGUUCGGAAUCACUGGGCGUAAAGGGAGUCUAGGCGGUUUGGUAAGUGGGAUGUGAAAUGCCCGGGCUCACCCCGGGACCUGCAUCCCAAACUGCUGAGCUUGAGUACAGGAGAGGGUGGGGGAAUUCCAGGUGUAGCGGUGAAAUGCGUAGAUAUCUGGAGGAACACCGGUGGCGAAGGCGGCGUCCUGGACCAACACUGACACUGAGGAGCGAAAGCCAGGGGAGCAAACGGG